rnacentral:rRNA from 1 species
AUUGAACGCUGGCGGCAUGCUUUACACAUGCAAGUCGAACGGUGAACGAGGGAGCUUGCUCCCUCCGGAUCAGUGGCGAACGGGUGAGUAACACGUGAGCAAUCUGCCCUGGACUCUGGGAUAAGCGUUGGAAACGACGUCUAAUACCGGAUACGAGGCGUGGGGGCAUCCCCAACGCCUGGAAAGAACUUCGGUCCAGGAUGAGCUCGCGGCCUAUCAGCUAGUUGGUGAGGUAACGGCUCACCAAGGCGACGACGGGUAGCCGGCCUGAGAGGGUGACCGGCCACACUGGGACUGAGACACGGCCCAGACUCCUACGGGAGGCAGCAGUGGGGAAUAUUGUACAAUGGGCGCAAGCCUGAUGCAGCAACGCCGCGUGAGGGACGACGGCCUUCGGGUUGUAAACCUCUUUUAGCAGGGAAGAAGCGAAAGUGACGGUACCUGCAGAAAAAGCACCGGCUAACUACGUGCCAGCCGCCGCCGUAAUAC